UUUACACAGCUACCCAGCAGGCCAGGUCACUCUGCCGCUGGGCUCUGCCUUACAUGUGGAAGUGUUGGUGGAUGAGUGAUCCAAGUUCUGCAGUUGUUCUGGAGGAUUGCUAUACCACUCACUCCUCAAACCCCGAUGACCCCAUCCGAGACUAUCUCAUUCGUUCCAGGUGUCCUUCUGCCUCUCGUCAUGUCCCGCCGUGUUCGUUUCUCUGCCCUGCUCUUUAAUCUCCAGAAUGAUCAGCCAAACCUCUUCCAUCACUGCACACUAUGCAUGUGUGACAAGAGGAUCCACAACUGUGUUCCACGCUGCAGACGAAGGACAUAUCGCUCUCCUGUCUACCAAGAUCCGAUCCAUUCCAUCACCAUUGGACCAAUCACGUUCAAGUGAAAAAUACAAUCCGGUAUCAGAGCAGAUGUCUCAGCACUGUGAUUUGUUUGGAAGUUAUGUUUCCUUUUUCUUUCAUCUUAGUCUUUUUAUGGGAGAACUCACAUGUUAAUGGAGUGAGAUGAUAAACACUGCAAAGUGAUGCAAGCACAUUUUAAUGAUAUCUUUAUUUUUCGAUCACCCUGUGAUAUCCUUCCUGUCUAUACAUUAUGUAGGCUAUGGUUAAUGGUGGUUCUGUUUUUAGCUAAUCAACAACAACAUGUUCAUGUCUUAACUGUAACUUGAUUUUUUGGUAGAAGAAAUGAUAAACACAUUUAAAGGUACACUAAUAACAACACAGGUUGUGGGUUUGGGGCGAUAUGGCAAACAUAUUCUAUCCCAUUAUAGCAUAUUUCUGGUAAUUCAAUAAAUAAUAGUUCAUGUGAAACAGCAACAUGUUAAAGCCUAUUUAUGUAUACUCUUCUGUGAAUUAAAAAC
rnacentral:lncRNA from 1 species